AAGACAUGGGGGAGAAGCUGAGGCUGGAGUCGCCCGUGGGGGCCGAGCCCGCCGUCUACCCGUGGCCGCUGCCGGUCUACGUUGUGACAGAAAUAAAGUUUCCAGAAGUAGUGUUCCUGCAAUAAGAAAUAAAGAUGUGACCUUCCAGUUGUGUAAAGCUCAUGAAUGCUGUGUAAGUGCGUCGGGUGCAAUAAGGAACCUGGAGCUAAAUGGGCUAGUUCUGAGAGAGGGAGACUUAACUACGUUAACAAAGGAAAUCCAUCUCCGUCCUUUGCGGGGGCAGUCCCGAGCUCAUGUUUUAACGGACGCGAAUGCAAAGCGUGGUUCUCACGUGACUUUCUGAAGAGCCCCCGCAGCAGGCCCAGGUACCUUGAGUGGACUAAGUCUCACUUUAUGGCAGUGGCAUCAGAUGGUGGCUACAGAAGGUUGCCGACGUCCCUGUGUGCUCUGACAGGCUCUGCAGACCGGGGGACGAAAGGACCAAGGAACUCUGACCGCCCUCGGGAAUCCCAAGUGACUGGAGGGACACCGCGUCAGGGCCCCAGGCAGUGUCGCCCACUGUUCCGGAGGCGGGCGGAGGCUCCGCAGCUUCAUUUCGUCCCGUCCCUUCCAGUAUUUAAAAUUAUUGUCAAGAUGCUGGGUUAACUCAGGCAGGUCUACAAAGGCGUCCCAAGCAGCAAACAUGUCUGUGAUGAACAAUGAAAGAGAUUUGGGAUUUGGGGAUGCUGCAGGUAUUUCUGUCAAAAACUGCCAUCACCACAGGCAAGUCCUGUCGCUUCUCUUCAUCAGUCUGAGAAAAACAUUCGUCUGAGAUACGUGCGGCCCACUCAAUGCACUGCUCCAGGGGUCGGCAGGGACUGGACACAUCAGCACACUUAAUCAGUCAGGGUGAGUCACCCCAACUCUCCUUCCUCUGGACCUUAGUUCCUCCUGAUUGUCACUCGUUACACUGAAAACAGAUUUCAGGAGUCAGCACGUGCAGCCAUAAUGUGUGCCUAAUUCCACAUCCCAGUCACUGGGACACAAAAUUUUGGUGUCUUAAGUCUGGCUCCCACAUCACCACUCACAUAUGUCAGUUCUUCCUCUACAGCUGAGUCAGUGAGUAAAGACACAUAAACAGAAGUAGAUUAAUACGAACAAGGUUUUAUUGACAUAUAUAUAUGUACAUAAAGCUGGGAAAGAGAAAGGCCCAUUGAGGCAAAUGCAUAGGGGGAGAGGAAGCAUCUGAGAACAGCAGUGGGCAUCCUGCCAGUUCCAAGUCUAGGGAAAACUUGGGUCCGCCAAGUUAACAGGCAAGCCAGGGAUGGCACAGUGGAUGAUGCAGCCAGCUGUCUUCCAUUCUCCUAACUGGAGCUUCUCAAGUCUGGUGUAGUUCUGAAGUGGGCUCAUAUGCUCCUCACCCUCCAGCACACACACACACACACACACACGCACACAGACACACACACGCACACACACACUUGCACACCCCUGAGGUGUGGUCCUCCGGCUUGCUGUAGGAAGAGAGGAGGUGAAGUUUCACUUCAAGGGGCUGAGCCACUUUCCAGUGAGGCAAGGUCCAUUCAUGGUGACACACAGUUUGCAGAAGAAGAUCUGCUCUUCAUUUGUUGAGUUUCUUCAUAGAAGAAAGGAAUUCGCUGGUGGCUCCUAUGAAGCCCUGGGCAGGUUAUGAGGCUGCCAGACUCCUGUGAGCACAGGCACAGCUGCCCUGACCAGGGGCCUGCAAACACAAUGCUGGCUCGUCUAAGUCAGAGGGGUGUCCUGACUCGGGGACCCCAGUGUUCUUACUGAGAGUGGAGCUUCCUCUCCAAGUAUGGAUGCUGCUAUCCCCCAUGGUACCACCUGGGUUUUGACCAGGGGGGGCCUCAGGUGCUUUGUAUGAAUGUGGCACCAGAAGUGUAUCCAGUCACAGCAGGUGUGGUGCUGUCCCCCAUGCCCCCCCCCCCGGUUCUCUGCACAGAUGGGUUCCAAGUCUGAUGGCAGUUAUUGACACAGGGCCUCCCAGCACCGGUGAGAUGUUGUGCCCUCCAUCCGCACCACCUGUGUGUUGGCCAGGUGGGUCCCAGUUGUAAGCGGGAAUAGCAGGUCCUCCAAUCAUGGGCAUGAUGUUGUUCCCUCCUAGACGACCACCACCUAGAUUGUGGGCAGGUGGGCCCCUUGUGCUUAGCAAUAAGGUAGAACUAGAAGUGUGUUGAAACCCACGGGUGAUAACCACACUUGCAACUGCAACAGAUGUGGUGUGCUCUGUCAGAAGGUGGAAACUGACAUGUCUCUUGACACAGAUUUCUUCUCCUUGGUGAUGGAACUUUGAAAUGUAGAUUUUCUCCGUCCAGAUGGGCCCUGUGUGCAGUGACGGAAAGUGGGAACCCUAGGGCCUCCCAUCGUGGGGAUGGUGUUGUCCCCUGCCAUCACCGUACCACCUGUAUUCAGCCCAGGUGGGCCCCAGGUAUUUGGAUUUAAGGUGGAAUCAGGUAUGUUCCCAAAUGCUGGGAUGGUGCCUGCCCCUCCUAGUGCAGCAGCCUUGCCGUGGUCAGGUAGAUGGCAGGUUGUCUGGCCCGAAGUAGGAACAGAAGCGGUGCUGGGUGCCCCACUUAGUCCUGCCCCGAAGUUAAGUGGUCUGGAUGCCUGUGAGUGAGUGAGGCCUGGGGCUGACACACCGACCCCAAGGCUCCCAUCGGCCGUAGGGGCUGCAGGUCCCAUGAACAGUGGGCCCGGUGUGGUGUCGGCAAAGAGCGAGCCGCUGUCCCCAGUACUGGGCAUCCUGGUGGCAAGUCCGAAGCCAGUAGCAAUGGACACAGCCCUGGGGAGAAUGCCUGGCUUGUCGCCAAAGGCCGGCUGCGUGUUGCUGGUGGUGGCGAAUAGGGAAGCUGGCGAAGCUGCCGGCAUGAUGCUGACUCGCGGUGGCUAGGCUGCAGGGGCGACUAGGACUUUAUCUUGUGCUGAAGCUGCUGGGUUUCCCAAUAGAAAAUUAUCGUUAGGCCUCUGCCCAUCGUUGGCCCCCAAUGUGGCCUGAGACGGGAGACCUGGGUCCAAGGAAGCUUGAAGUGUUGGUCUUAUCUGUUGGCCACGUUGCAGGUAAAUGCGUCGAGGCAUGGGCUGAGGCAUUGCUACUACUGGGAGGUGUGUUCCCAGAACUAGGAACAGCCCUGUGAAAUGCCUAUUGGUUCUGCCUGGAGACAGGCCGAAGGCUGGUGACGGCUGAAGUGACUGUGUAAAAUUUUUCUUUCAGUGGCAACCUAUAAUCUUUAAAAUAUGGUGAGCAUCUUGUCUGUUUUGAAGGGGAUAUGACAAUAAAUCUACCAGAUGGAAAAUUCUGUUAAAAGUAGAAAAGCUUUAGUAAUUUGCUCAGUGUGGUGGUUUUAUCGUUUUCUUUUUCUCCCUUGGGUGACGGCCGAAGUCGUAACUGGGGGGCUGGGGAAAGCAGGAGCCGAAUGGAAAAUGACAGCCUGGGAAGGAGGUGUGGUGUCCAUAGGUACAGUGUCAGAGCUGCUGCCUGCUGAAACAUUGGUGACGGCCGAAGCCGUAACUGGGGGGCUGGGGAAAACAGGAGCCGAAUGGAAGAUGACAGCCUGGGAAGGAGGUGUGGUGUCCAUAGGUACAGUGUCAGAGCUGCUGCCUGCUGAAGCAUUGGUGACGGCCGAAGUCGUAACUGGGGGGCUGGGGAAAACAGGAGCCGAAUGGAAGAUGACAGCCUGGGAAGGAGGUGUGGUGUCCAUAGGUACAGUGUCAGAGCUGCUGCCUGCUGAAGCAUUGGUGACGGCCGAAGUCGUAACUGGGGGGCUGGGGAAAGCAGGAGCCGAAUGGAAAAUGACAGCCUGGGAAGUAGGUGUGGUGUCCAUAGGUACAGUGUCAGAGCUGCUGCCUGCUGAAGCAUUGGUGACGGCCGAAGCUGUAAAUGGGGGGCUGGGGAAAACAGGAGCCGAAUGGAAAAUGACAGCUCCGGAAGGGGCAGCAGUGUCCAUGUAGACGCCAGGCUGCAAGGUCACACUUCCAGAUGCCGUGACCAUGCUGGUGGAAGGGAUUGCCACAGAAGUCCUGGGCUGCCCAGUUACAAUAGGGGGAUUGAUGGUAGGGGCUGGAAGAGGGGUAGGUAAGUAUAAAGGAGGGGUAGGAGCUACACAGAUGGGUGUUGGGGGUUCUUUUUCAUGGGACGGUGGCUGGACCUUCCUUCCAUUCUUGGGGAUCUUUUUCCAGCGACACUGAAUGUUCUUCUCCAAGGUGCCUAGGUGUUUGGCAGCAGCUAAGCACGGAAGCUUAGGAGGAGGGGGCAGCUCACCUCGAUCCCACGUCAGUGCCUCGUUCCCCGACGGGGGCGACCUCAGCCUUGGCAGUGGCAGAAAAAGCGGCAGGGGAAUCUUCCGCUUCCAGGGCCUACUGCUGGUAGAUAGCAGGGAAGGGGAGCUUCUUGUUGGGAUGCGUGAAGACUCUUCACGCUGCAGCUCCUUCCCAGACAUCGGUGAGCCUGGUGAUUUGGGCCGGUGGUCUUCACCCAGCACUUUUUUUGUUGGCCUCUCCAGCAGCAGGGAGCAGCAUGCGGUUGGGGCAGAGGACAGCACGGCAUGGGAUGGGGCCUUCACCUCCCUCUUCUCACCUCCUUCCGGGGCUGUCAUUUUGCAUUGUGCCCCUGUUUUCCCCAGCCCCCGUCUCAGUGGGAGGUGACUGGAUGGUACCGGCUUCCUGACGUUGACUCCCUGCUCAGGGCAGAAGGCAGGCGCUGGAGCAGCAGGGUGGUCCCGGUCAGACGUGGCAGCCUCCCAGGAGCACAAAACCAGUGGGUGACAGCCCACCGGGGCCCCACGGCGGGGCGGGCGGCGGGGCCGGUGGGGCCGGCGGCGGUGGCGGAGCCAGGUACGAAAUUUGCAUAGUAAAUUGCCCAUGUAGGACCGGUUGUGCGCCAAGCGAUCCGAGAACAGAGUGAAACUGGGAGAGCUUCUCCUUAGCUUCACCUCCUCUCAAGGUCUAGCACGCACUGGACACUGGAUGGCUCAGCCUGGCGCUUGUGACAUGUCCAUUGUACUCGUCACAGAGAAAGGGCGGGCGGGGCAGGGCGGGGGGGCGCAUGCAAGCCCAGCCCCUGGAGAAACCCCGGCCCAAAGGCAAAGGGCGGGGCCCCAGAGCCCGACCCCUUCUGGACUUUCUAGUGGCUGGGACUUCUCGCUGUGGGUGGCAGGUGUUUGGCACCGGAUGGACCACCAUGCGGAGACUGUUGGGGACUGUGGAAGCCUUCUCCUCCAGAGCUCACCCUGCCUGGGCACCGGCUCUGCAGGCCCCUCAGCCCUGCGUAUGUAUCGGCCAGCCCUUCCCCCCCAAGGGGCCCAGGGACCAGAGCCUGUUCAGAGCUGAGUGCAGGAGGCACCCAGAGCUUGCCAGGCUGUGGCCCGCCUCCUCCAGGGACCUCCCCAGCUUCUCUGCGAGGCCUGAUGACGGGAGCACCUUCUCCAGGGCUGCUCAGCUGCCAGCAUCACCAUGAGCCAGGUGGCAAAGGUUUCUGAGCAGGGGAUGCAGAGCCCUGACCCGCCUGGGUGCUGCAGCCCACGAUGUCCCUUCCUGGCAGAUAGGUUCUUUCUUCAAUUCCUUUUCGCAAUUUGGUAAAACAACAUUUAAACCUUCGACUGUUCUUCAGGUUAUACAGAUGGUAGUGGCUUAGCUAGGAUUCGAAGCAAGCCUGUGUGAUUCCAGAGCUCGUGCUCUGGACUGUGGCGCCUCCUUAUCAUAUAUGCUUCAUGUGUUACUUUUGUUUGUUUUUCUUGUGGCCCUUAUGGUACUUAGCCCUAAGUGCCAUACGUGUGAUGAACACGUACACUGCCCUGUAGGAGGUCUUCUUUUGUUCAACGCAUGAAUUGGUCAUCCACCACACGGGGUUCUAGUCUCAGAAGAUACAGGUCAGGGAGCACCAGCUGUCAGCAUAGCAGCGCCCCACAUUUCUAAUUGAGGCUUGCAGCCCAGAUUUUCCCUUUGGUCUAGUGUGAAGGAUCCAGAUAUGUAAAGCUUAUAUUCUAGACAAAUCAUGGGCUAUCCGGAAAGAAAUUCACCAGUAAAUUAUUCCAGUUUCUCUGGCCUUCCUGGAGUAUAUCCAGUAAGGCAUCUCAUUCUUGUCUGGCAAGCAAAUAUAUCAUUUAUUGCAACUUCAUCGUGGAGUGAUGUAUUGGUUUAAAGUACGAUCAACACAAUUUGGUCAUUGUGAGUAUGCCAGCUGGGUCCACUGUUUACUACACAUAUGUACCACUAGCGAUUCUUAUGCCCAAGAGAGGAGACAUACUCUUGGGUGUCUAGGGCAAGG